UGUGCUCUGUCCAAUGACUAGUACUGUCCAAUCAUUAAUCAUGUUCACCCUAUGUACUUGUAUCUGCAAUA